rnacentral:rRNA from 1 species
AUUGAACGCUGGCGGCAGGCCUAACACAUGCAAGUCGAGCGGAUGAAAGGAGCUUGCUCCUUGAUUUAGCGGCGGACGGGUGAGUAAUGCCUAGGAAUCUGCCUGGUAGUGGGGGAUAACGUUCCGAAAGGAACGCUAAUACCGCGUACGUCCUACGGGAGAAAGCAGGGGACCUUCGGGCCUUGCGCUAUCAGAUGAGCCUAGGUCGGAUUAGCUAGUUGGUGAGGUAAUGGCUCACCAAGGCGACGAUCCGUAACUGGUCUGAGAGGAUGAUCAGUCACACUGGAACUGAGACACGGUCCAGACUCCUACGGGAGGCAGCAGUGGGGAAUAUUGGACAAUGGGCGAAAGCCUGAUCCAGCCAUGCCGCGUGUGUGAAGAAGGUCUUCGGAUUGUAAAGCACUUUAAGUUGGGAGGAAGGGCGUUUGGCUAAUAUCCAGGCGUUUUGACGUUACCAACAGAAUAAGCACCGGCUAACUUCGUGCCAGCCGCCGCCGUAACAC